GACGAACGCUGGCGGCGUGCCUAAUACAUGCAAGUUGAGCGCUGAAGGUUGGUACUUGUACCAACUGGAUGAGCAGCGAACGGGUGAGUAACGCGUGGGGAAUCUGCCUUUGAGCGGGGGACAACAUUUGGAAACGAAUGCUAAUACCGCAUAAAAACUUUAAACACAAGUUUUAAGUUUGAAAGAUGCAAUUGCAUCACUCAAAGAUGAUCCCGCGUUGUAUUAGCUAGUUGGUGAGGUAAAGGCUCACCAAGGCGAUGAUACAUAGCCGACCUGAGAGGGUGAUCGGCCACAUUGGGACGGGGACACGGCCCAAACUCCUACGGGAGGCAGCAGUAGGGAAUCUUCGGCCAUGGACGGAAGUCUGACCGAGCAACGCCGCGUGAGUGAAGAAGGUUUUCGGGUCGUAAAACUCUGUUGGUAGGGAAGAACGUUGGUGAGGGUGGAAAGCUCAUCAAGUGACGGUAACUACCCAGAAAGGGACGGCUAACUACGUG
rnacentral:rRNA from 1 species